rnacentral:rRNA from 1 species
GAUGAACGCUAGCGGCAGGCCCAAUACAUGCAAGUCGAACGGGAUUGCGGUGUAGCUUGCUACACUGCAUGAGAGUGGCGCACGGGUGCGUAACGCGUGAGCAACCUGCCCAUAUCAGGGGGAUAGCCCGGAGAAAUCCGGAUUAACACCGCAUGUUACAGUAUUACCGCAUGGUAUAGCUGUUAAAUAUUUAUAGGAUAUGGAUGGGCUCGCGUGACAUUAGCUAGUUGGUGGGGUAACGGCCCACCAAGGCGACGAUGUCUAGGGGCUCUGAGAGGAGAAUCCCCCACACUGGUACUGAGACACGGAUCAGACUCCUACGGGAGGCAGCAGUAAGGAAUAUUGGUCAAUGGGCGGAAGCCUGAACCAGCCAUGCCGCGUGCAGGACGACUGCCCUAUGGGUUGUAAACUGCUUUUGUACGGGAAUAACCCUCUCUACGAGUAGAGAGCUGAACGUACCGUAAGAAUAAGGAUCGGCUAACUCCGUGCCAGCAGCCGCAGUAA